CUGUGGGAUAAGUUGGUUGAAGGAGUCUGUAAGUCUGCCUGGAGAGAGAACAGAUGGCCUCUCUCUGUUCCAGAUCCUUCAUGAUUCCAUUAUUUUGCCCCCUUCUCUCUCCCCCUUCACCUCUUCCCUGCUAUCUGAGAACUAAUUGUUCCCUUUGGCUAUUCUGAUUUGACAUCCAGGAAAGAAUGCCUGCUUCCUGUCCAUGGAUCUGAUCUAUCAUCUCAGAGGGGACACCACCCUGACCCUGCGGGAUGGAGCCAGGUCAUGUCUCCUGAUCUUUUUCACCCAAAGACCUGCUUGGUCCUACACAUUGCCAUUCCCUGCGUGAAGAAAGCACAUGAGCUCAGAGCUGGAGCCUCCACUGUGAGGCUCACCUCACUUCCCUCCUCAUCUGCAUAGGUCCUCUUUGCUUUGAACCAGACCCUCCCGCAGCAGGAGAGCCUGUGAGCAGGCAGCCUUCGGAUCCCUGCACGACAGAGGACCUUGUAUAACACUACAAGUGCGGGGACCUCAGCUGCGUCAUCUUCAGCCAUGAGAGCUCCCAGUCACCCUCUGGCCCUGCGGACCCUUCUGUAAAGAACUCAGGAGGCCCCGACCCACCGCCACCCGCGGCAAUGCUGCCCACCCCGCGCCGGCCUUCCUGCUAGCCCCUGCUCCGUGUCCAGCCCCAGUGGGCACACGGUGACCCUUCCUGCCCCCGCCGCCGUGAUGAGGUACCACAGGCUGGGUGGCUUCGACAGUCUCACGGCUCUGGAGGCUAGAAGUCCAGGAUCAAGGUGUCGGCAGGUUUGGUCUCUCUGAGGCCUCUCCCUCUGGCUUGCAGACGGCCGUCUUCUCACUGUCCCCUCGUGGCCUCUCCUCGAUGUACACGCAGUCUUGGUGUCUCUGUGUGUCCAAACCUCCUCUUGUAAGGACGCCAGUCACACUGGAUUAGGGCCCACGCUGAGGGCCUCAUCUCAACUUAAUCACCUCUGUGAAGGUCCUUCUCCAAAUACAGCCGCAUUCUGAGGUCUGGGGUUAGGGCUUCAGCGUGUGAAUGUUGAGGGGACACAGGUCAGCCCUUAGCACCCCCUCCACGCGUCCCACCCCCUCCCGUGCGUGGUCACCGGCGCCCCCUGCUGGCAGAGCUCUCAGCUGUAGAGAGAGUCCUCCAGGAGGAAAAUGCUGCCCUCUGCCGAGAGGCUGGAGAGGUGUCCGCCCGAUGGCUGCCCUUCUCCAGGUGCCCUCUCUCUCCUCCGAACCGCCAUCUUCACCUCACGUCAUCUCAGGCCGGGGCCUACUC